ACCCAAUUCCAUCAUCCAUGCAGGACAAGAAGUUGAGAAUAGAGAGUAUUGGUGAUGAGGCUUACAAAGGGGAACUUUGAUUUAUUAAGUGUUGGUGCCUAAUAAGAAGUGCUGCCUUGCGAGAGGUUAAACAAUUUUUGAGGUAAGUAAUGUGAACUCUUAAAGCUAAUUUGUGAGGAAAAAUUGUUAGUACAGGUUGCAGAGAUGUAUCGGAGAAGAGUGGAAGAACUUUUCUGCUGAAGAAAAGAAAAGGUCUUGUCCUAUACCAACUGUGUGAAUCAAUGGAACAUUUAAAAAAAAAAAAAAUUGUAACCUGUUUGCAUAUUACAUAUUGAACAAGGAGAUAUAUAUGGAAGGCAAUGAAAGGCUGAAGGUAAAAGAAACCAUGAGCGAGGCGAAGAGAACAAAGAAGCACUCUAGAUUCUCUCAAUAAAGGGAAAAUCGUAAAUGUCACCGAGGGAGAGAGAUUGCCAACCGUUCAGAGACAUGAAUCUAACUAGCAGUCGAAGUUGUGGAGCUGGAAUUAAUUAAAACAGCUGGGAGAAGGAUGUCAACAACUUGGUAAUAGGAUAAGCUUGAGUGACACUCAAAUCACGGAUGCAGCUCCAGAAAAUUGUAAAGCUUCAAUGAGCCAGUAAAACAGAGAAGACUGCUGAUGAAAAAGACAAGCAAAUCAUUUAUCGCUAAGUAAGUUUUAAUUUACUCAAUUCGACCAGAAUAUGCUUAGGUAAAUCACCUAAUACAAGACUACUUAGACACAAUCUCGCCUUAAUCACCAGGUAAAUUGUAAUCUUAAGUUCAUUAUGAUUCAUGAUCGGAUAGAUGAAAAACUGCUCUUCAGGACGACGCCAAGGUUCUGGUUAGAGUUUACAGAGACCUCGAGACUCGAGCUGAGAUGAUGAUGUCCACAUCAAUUUGAAACUAAAGGAUCCCUUGAAGCCUAAACAACAAAUAUCUGCCUACAUAAUUACGAGAGGAGUGCUGCUUUACGAGAAUUUGAGAUAAAGAUGAAUCGGAGAAGAGUGGAAGAACUUGUCUGCAAAGCGAAAGGGUCUCUAAGAAAAGGUAUUCUCCCAUAUUAACUGUGUGAAUUGUUCAAAGAAACAAAAUUUCUUGACCUGUUUGUCUAUUAUUGAACAAGGAGAUAUAUAUGGGACAUGCUGAAAAAGGUAGAAGAAGCAUGAGCGAGAAGAAGAGGAUAAAGAACCUUUCCAAAUUCUCAAGGAAGGGAAACCAACAAUGCCACUAAGGUUGCAAAGAUGACCAAAGAAAAAUAGAAGAACUUGUCUGCGUAACAAAAGGAUCCCUAAGAAAAGGUCUUGUGCCAUAUCAAUUGUGUGAAGCAAUGCAAAGUUCAAAAACGAAAUUUCUAACCUGUUUUCAUAUUGAACAAGGACAUAUAUAUGGAAGGUUGAAGAAGCCAUGAGCUACAAGAUAAAAAGCAUUGUAAGAUCUCUCAAGGACAGUUAUUACGACAACGCCGAAGCUAUGGUUGGACUUUACAGAGAGCUCGAGACUCAAGCGGAGGUGAUGAUGUCCAUAUCAAUCUUUAUUACAUGUAUCUCUGGUAUAAUAUUUAUCAGCCUGAAGACGUUCUUAGGUGUUCUUGCCUCCACUAGCAGGAGUUUAUGAGAGGGGAUUCCUCGGGCUUAGGGGAAAACAGAGGAGGAGGAAAGCGAAAAGCUUAAGGUGGAGCCAUAGGAAACAACCCUAACAGCUUAAAAGACUGCAAUCCGUAGCUAAUCUAGAGAAAAGACAAAUUUCUGGAAAAGCAUCAAAAUCAAUAAAAACAUGUCUAUUGCAACGGAGCCCUCCAAUGGUUGUGCUUUAUCUUCUCCCAAUAGCUGGAGAAGGAUAAAAUCACUAGUCUCUAAGCAAUUUGCAUUAAUUUUUUCGUGUCAACGGGAUUCAUUUUACCAACAAACAAGGCUGGAAACGUUUUUAGGUGUUCUUGUCUCCACUAGAAGCAGUGAGAGAUGAUUUCUUCAGGCUCAGUGAAAGAGCAAUGUUCGUAGUGUGAUAAUUUUACCACUAGAAAAUGUAAUAAAUCCAAAUGGCAAGUGCUGCCGGUUAAGUGCAGGACAAGAAGUGGAGUAGAGAAUGUUGGUGAUGAGGCUAUAAAGGGAAACUUGUAAUUAUUGAGUGUUGGUGUCUAUGUUUUUCAGCUAUCAUAUAACUUUAUUCCUUUUGUUUUGAUAAGGUUAUGUGUCUUUACUUAAUUUACACUCUGGAUUUGGCUCAUCCUUGUUAUCUCAUCUGUAGUAUCCCAUUCAGAUUACAUAAAUUAACUUGGUGAAAGGGUAAUUAAUGAUCAUUGGGUAUUUUUCAGGUCGAAAGUGAGGAUUACUCAUUCAAACAGAAGCACAAAAACCUUGUUUCAUGUCAGGUUGCAAAAAUGAAUGAAGAAGAAUGGAAGAACUUGUCUGCGGAACAAAAGGAUCGCCGUAAGAAGUUGCUGACAAAAACCUGAAUAGAGGCAUGUAUGUAACGCUAUUUUUCUCUUCGUCUAUAAAGUUCUGAUUGGUUUUUUUCAAGCUACUCAUAAUAAGUUAUGUUGAUCUCAAGAAGUGGAGUAUAGAGAGUAUUGGUGAUGAUGAGACUACAAAUGGAAACUUUGAUUUAUUAAGUGUUGGUGCCUAAGUGCUUCUUAUAAGAAGUGCUGCCUUGCGAGAGGUUAAACAAUUUUUGAGGUAAGAAAUGCGAACUCUUAAAGCUAAUUUGUGCGGAUAAAUUGUUAGUACAGGUUGCAGAGAUGAAUCGGAGAAGAGUGGAAGAACUUUUUUGCUGAACAAAA